rnacentral:tRNA from 2 species
AAGAGUUUAGGUUAAUAAAGACCAAAGGCCUUCAAAGCCUUAAGUAGAAGUGAAAAUCCUCUAACUCUUG